rnacentral:rRNA from 1 species
UUGAACGCUGGCGGCAUGCUUUACACAUGCAAGUCGAACGGCAGCGGGGGCUUCGGCCUGCCGGCGAGUGGCGAACGGGUGAGUAAUGCAUCGGAACGUACCCAGUCGUGGGGGAUAACUACGCGAAAGCGUAGCUAAUACCGCAUACGCCCUGAGGGGGAAAGCGGGGGACCUUCGGGCCUCGCGCGAUUGGAGCGGCUGAUGUCGGAUUAGCUAGUUGGUGGGGUAAAGGCCUACCAAGGCGACGAUCCGUAGCUGGUCUGAGAGGAUGAUCCGCCACACUGGGACUGAGACACGGCCCAGACUCCUACGGGAGGCAGCAGUGGGGAAUUUUGGACAAUGGGCGCAAGCCUGAUCCAGCCAUGCCGCGUGAGUGAAGAAGGCCUUCGGGUUGUAAAGCUCUUUCGCGAGGGAAGAAAACGCACUCUCUAAUACAGGGUGUGGAUGACGGUACCUUGAUAAGAAGCACCGGCUAACUACGU